AUCGCUUCUCGGCCUUUUGGCUAUGAUCAAGUGUAGUAUCUGUUCGUAUUAGUUUAAUAUCUGAUACAUCAUCUAUCUGGCGACAAUAUAUAAAAUGGAUUUUUGGCACUAGAAACUGGAAUAGGAGCUUGCUCUGUCCAUUUCAUGUAUUGACCUGGUAUUGCAGUACCUCCAAGGAACAGUGCACCAAAA